ACUAUAGUUAAUCAAUCUCGCCUCACAGAUUGUCAGCUCUCUUAUCAAUGACAGAUCUGCUAUGAACAACAGAAUGAGCUUAUAGGCUUAGCUGAAAAGUUACUUUCCCAGCUCUGCUGAUACCAGAAAAAGUUCAUAGUACAGCACAUGCUUUUUAUUUUUUCCGGGGACCCAGACCCAGAGUAUGGAAGUGUAGCUUUUGAAUGUAUGAAUGAUCAUUUGUCUGUGUGCAGCCUUUUCUGGACUGCAACGCGCUGUGCGAUGUCUGUUUCUUUGAGCUCCACCCAAGCCCCUUUUUUUCUCUUUUUUCUUUGAGAUUCCAGGAAGUGACCCUCACAUUUCUUUGUCCAAAGGCCCUACUGAUGAAUGGAAAGAUUUGGGUUCCUGGACUAGAGCGUGCAACCAUGCUCUGGAUUGGAUGGCAUUGCCUGGCAGUUUGAUUUUAUUUGAUUUUAUUUUUUUAUUUUUUCCUCACUACAGGCCAGGCCAUGAGAUGCCACACCCCUAUCUUUUGGUUUUGGAUGCUUCCAUUCUUGAACUGGACGGUGUUCCUGAUUGUGUUUGAGCCAAGCAUAAAUUUGAUGUUGGUCUCAUACAGAAUUGUGAACUUUUGGUUGUAAACACUAAAUCUCACUUCAGACCCCAGCAGGCUCAGUACCCCUUGAAGCCUCAGGCAAUUGCGGGCAUCACCCCAGUUUUUAACUCAUUUUUGGAAGCAGGUAUAGUCAUCCCCUGUGAUGGUUCCCCUGUUAACACCCCGAAUUUGCCCGUUAAGAAGUAUCGCCCUCCUCCAUUAGAGAAAAAAAAAAAUAAAUAAAUAAAGAGAGAGAGAAAAAGUCACGUUCCUUGGAGAUGUUGUCAGUGCAGAAGGUAAAAGCCUUUCCUCCAAGCAUCUCACUGCAACCAACAGGCGCCGAGACCGGAGACUGUUAAGCAACUCCUGUCUUUCGUUGGGUUGUGCUCAUACUGCAGGAUUUCUGUUCCAAACUUUUCAGAGAUAACCAGGCCCCUAUAGCACUGAAACUUGCUCUCCAAUCACCUCCCACUUUAGGCCUACUGGAUCCAUUCAAGCCAUUCACUCAGACUGCGGAUGAGGGAGGGGGAGCUGCGUGGCCUCUGUCCUCCUCCAGGAUCAUGGUGGAACUCUCGGACCAGUGGCUUAUUUCUCCUGUAAGCUUGAUCCUGUUGCUGCUGGACUUCCUCGCUGCCCGAGUGCCAUUGCUGCUGCAGAGAGGGCCCAGCAGCAUCCAGAGAUCUUGUGGGCUAUUCUGACAUUGCUGGUCCUCCGUGAAGUCCACC